rnacentral:rRNA from 1 species
UCUACCGAAGCAGUGGGAUCAUUAAUAUGAUCGGUAGGGGAGCAUUCCAGUCAGCGUCGAAGGCGUACCGUGAGGUAUUCUGGAGCGUCUGGAAAAGCAAAUGUAGGUAUAAGUAACGAUAAAGGGGGCGGGAAACCCCCUCGCCGAAAGACUAAGGUUUCCUGAUCAACGCUAAUCGGAUCAGGGUCAGUCGGGUCCUAAGGCUCAGCCGAACGGCGAGGCCGAUGGCAGAAACGGUUAAUAUUCCGUUACUACCUUUGAGGGUGACGUGGGGAAGCAGUAGUGACACUGCCGCGGGCUGACGGAAUAGCCCGUUAAAGAGUGUAGGCGUUGAUUUCCGCAGGCAAAUCCACGGAAAGAGCCGAACUUGACAGUAUGGAGCGUCCUUCGGGACAAUCCAACAGCGCAGGUAAUCAGACUGCCGAGAAAAUCCGCUAAACAUAACUUCAGAGGUACCCGUACCGCAAACGGACACACGUAGUCGGGUUGAAUAUACUAAGGCGCUUGGGUGAAUCACGGUUAAGGAACUAGGCAAACUGACCCUGUAACUUCGGGAUAAAGGGUCCCUACCCUUUUAUGGGAGGGCGCAGAGAAUCGGUCCAGGCAACUGUUUAACAAAAACACAGGGCUGUGCAAAAUAGAAAUAUGAAGUAUACAGCCUGACACCUGCCCGGUGCUGGAAGGUUAAGAGGAGAUGUCAUCGCAAGAGAAGCAUUGAAUUGAAGCCCCAGUAAACGGCGGCCGUAACUAUAACGGUCCUAAGGUAGCGAAAUUCCUUGUCGGGUAAGUUCCGACCCGCACGAAAGGCGUAAUGAUUUGGGCACUGUCUCAACAAUGCACCCGGUGAAAUUGAAAUACCAGUGAAGAUGCUGGUUACCUGCGCCAGGACGGAAAGACCCCAUGGAGCUUUACUCCAGUUUGAUACUGGGAUUCGGUACUGCACGUACAGGAUAGGUGGGAGACUGAGAACUAUGGACGCCAGUCUGUAGGGAGUCGCUGUUGGGAUACCACCCCUGUAGUACUGGGUUUCUAACCAGUUGCCAUGAACUGGCAAUGGGACAAUGUCAGGCGGGGAGUUUGACUGGGGCGGUCGCCUCCGAAAGGGUAUCGGAGGCGCUCAAAGGUUCCCUCAGAAUGGUCGGAAACCAUUCGAAGAGUGCAAAGGCAGAAGGGAGCUUGACUGCGACACCGACGGGUGGAGCAGGUACGAAAGUAGGACUUAGUGAUCCGGUGGUAUAAAGUGGGAUUGCCAUCGCUCAACGGAUAAAAGCUACCCUGGGGAUAACAGGCUUAUCACUCCCAAGAGUUCACAUCGACGGAGUGGUUUGGCACCUCGAUGUCGGCUCAUCGCAUCCUGGGGCUGUAGCAGGUCCCAAGGGUUGGGCUGUUCGCCCAUUAAAGCGGUACGCGAGCUGGGUUCAGAACGUCGUGAGACAGUUCGGUCCCUAU